GUAGGUGGCAAGCGUUGUCCGGAAUUAUUGGGCGUAAAGCGCGCGCAGGCGGUUCUUUAAGUCUGAUGUGAAAGCCCACGGCUCAACCGUGGAGGGUCAUUGGAAACUGGAGAACUUGAGUACAGAAGAGGAAAGCGGAAUUCCACGUGUAGCGGUGAAAUGCGUAGAGAUGUGGAGGAACACCAGUGGCGAAGGCGGCUUUUCUGGUCUGUAACUAACGCUGAGGCGCGAAAGCGUGGGGAGCAAGCAGGGAUUAGAUACCCUGGUAGUCCACGCCGUAAACGAUGAGUGCUAAGUGUUAGGGGGGUUUCCGCCCCCUUAGUGCUGCAGCUAACGCAUUAAGCACUCCGCCUGGGGAGUACGGCCGCAAGGCUG
rnacentral:rRNA from 1 species